UUAUAUAAUUUAUUUUUUUUAAUAAAUACUCGUUGUUGAUUUUUGUGGGGGGGGACCAGGCCACCCCCGGGGGGGGUACAUUGUUUGUUUUCGGCAUAAUUACCAAUAGUACUGCGGGCUUGACUGUGCCGGGUGGUCUAUUCUUGCAAAAUACUUUGAGGAAAUUAGAGUGCUUCGAGCAUGCAUACCCCCCGAACACAUUAACGUGGAAUAACAAUAUCGGAUCCCCGCUGUAUUCGAUUGGUUUUUAUAGCUGCGGUAAUGACGAAUAGGGAUAACUGGUGGCAUUCGGAUUUAAUAGUCAGAGGUGAAAUUCUUGGAUUUGUUAAAAACAAACUGCUGCCAAAGCAUUUGCCAAUUAUGUUUUCAUUGAUCAAAAACUAAAGUUAGGGGAUCCAAAACGAUCAGAUACCGUCCUAAUCCUAACAAUAAACAAUGCCCACUAGGAAUUGAAGGUAAUCUAUUAUACGAUUCUUCCAACAUUUUAUGACAAAUCAAAGUAUUUGGGUUCCGGGGGGAGUAUGGUCGCAAGGCUGAAACUUAUGGGAAUUGACGGAAGGGCACCACCAGGAGUGGAGCCUGCUGCUUAAUUUGACUCAACACGGGGAAACUUAUCAGGUCCCAACAUAAUAAAGAUUGACUAAUUGAUUGCUUGUUCUUGAUUAUAUGGGGGUGGUGCAUGGCCGGCUGAGUUGGUGGAGUGAUUUGUCUGGUUAAUUCCGAUAACGACGAGACCUUGGUCUGCUACACGAUUAUGUGUAAUUCCGACUACGUUCACAAUUCAUUACAGGGACGAAGCGCUUUUAGGACAAAGAAG
rnacentral:rRNA from 1 species